GACGAACGCUGGCGGCGUGCUUAACACAUGCAAGUCGAACGGAAAGGCCCUUCGGGGUGCUCGAGUGGCGAACGGGUGAGUAACACGUGGGUGAUCUGCCCUGCACUUUGGGAUAAGCCUGGAAACUGGGUCUAAUACCGAAUAGGACCACGGCAUUCAUGUGCUGUGGUGGAAAGCUUUUGCGGUGUGGGAUGGGCCCGCGGCCUAUCAGCUUGUUGGUGGGGUAAUGGCCUACCAAGGCGACGACGGGUAGCCGGCCUGAGAGGGUGACCGGCCACACUGGGACUGAGAUACGGCCCAGACUCCUACGGGAGGCAGCAGUGGGGAAUAUUGCACAAUGGGCGCAAGCCUGAUGCAGCGACGCCGCGUGAGGGAUGACGGCCUUCGGGUUGUAAACCUCUUUCAGUACCGACGAAGCGCGAGUGACGGUAGGUACAGAAGAAGGACCGGCCAACUACGUGCCAGCAGCCGCGGUAAUACGUAGGGUCCGAGCGUUGUCCGGAAUUACUGGGCGUAAAGAGCUCGUAGGUGGUUUGUCGCGUUGUUCGUGAAAACUCACAGCUUAACUGUGGGCGUGCGGGCGAUACGGGCAGACUGGAGUACUGCAGGGGAGACUGGAAUUCCUGGUGUAGCGGUGGAAUGCGCAGAUAUCAGGAGGAACACCGGUGGCGAAGGCGGGUCUCUGGGCAGUAACUGACGCUGAGGAGCGAAAGCGUGGGGAGCGAACAGGAUUAGAUACCCUGGUAGUCCACGCCGUAAACGGUGGGUACUAGGUGUGGGUUUCCUUCCUUGGGAUCCGUGCCGUAGCUAACGCAUUAAGUACCCCGCCUGGGGAGUACGGCCGCAAGGCUAAAACUCAAAGGAAUUGACGGGGGCCCGCACAAGCGGCGGAGCAUGUGGAUUAAUUCGAUGCAACGCGAAGAACCUUACCUGGGUUUGACAUGCACAGGACGUGCCUAGAGAUAGGUAUUCCCUUGUGGCCUGUGUGCAGGUGGUGCAUGGCUGUCGUCAGCUCGUGUCGUGAGAUGUUGGGUUAAGUCCCGCAACGAGCGCAACCCUUGUCUCAUGUUGCCAGCACGUUAUGGUGGGGACUCGUGAGAGACUGCCGGGGUCAACUCGGAGGAAGGUGGGGAUGACGUCAAGUCAUCAUGCCCCUUAUGUCCAGGGCUUCACACAUGCUACAAUGGCCGGUACAAAGGGCUGCGAUGCCGUAAAGGUGGAGCGAAUCCUUUCAAAGCCGGUCUCAGUUCGGAUCGGGGUCUGCAACUCGACCCCGUGAAGUCGGAGUCGCUAGUAAUCGCAGAUCAGCAACGCUGCGGUGAAUACGUUCCCGGGCCUUGUACACACCGCCCGUCACGUCAUGAAGUCGUAACA
rnacentral:rRNA from 1 species